rnacentral:lncRNA from 1 species
CUGAUGUCAUCCCUAAGUGUAACUUUCCAACAUCACCACCUUGCACUCUCCCCUUUUCACCCAGACUGCUGUCCUUGCCCCAGUAGUUGAUGACAAGCCACAUGGCUGCUCCCAUGCAGGUACCCAGCUGUUGUCUCUCAACUGUUCUCUAUCUACUGCCCUUUCAGCUGGUCCUGAUACCCACCACGAGAGUUCCGGUACUGACCCCGACCAUCAAUCUCUAGACUGGAGGCUGUACAGAAACAUGCCCUGAGUCUCUUCCACAGCUCUUGCCACCCUGUGGCUGGGAGUGGGGGAGUCUGGCUACCCAGGAUCCAGCUAAUGUCCACGGUAGAAUGUACUAGCAUUCUUACAUGGAAGGCUGUAUAACACAAGUAGAAGCAAGGUCAAUUCUGCUGGCUAUAAGGGAGAGAAUGUACUGAGAAUAUACUGUUUAGCCGACGUGAGGAUCCAAUCCAUUAAACAGUUACAUGCCAUGAUGUAAAUUAGUACAUUCGUAUUCUGAUUUUAUCAUCGGCCUCAUCUGGGCUCCAAAGUCGUGAGUCAGCAUCCCUGGGUCUAAUCAUCAUGGAAGCCCUGAAUAUCAAGCUUCCGGGGGAGAAACCAAGGAAGUAGAACCAGCCAGAGUGAGAUCACCAAGCACGAGAUAACGGACACACAGAGGGAAAGGAAGCAUUCCUUGGGGCUUCCCUUUGCCAGAGGACUUGAGAGAGAUAGGAC